rnacentral:rRNA from 1 species
UGUUUCGGCAAGGGGGUCAUCCCGACUUACCAACCCGAUGCAAACUGCGAAUACCGGAGAAUGUUAUCACGGGAGACACACGGCGGGUGCUAACGUCCGUCGUGAAGAGGGAAACAACCCAGACCGCCAGCUAAGGUCCCAAAGUCAUGGUUAAGUGGGAAACGAUGUGGGAAGGCCCAGACAGCCAGGAUGUUGGCUUAGAAGCAGCCAUCAUUUAAAGAAAGCGUAAUAGCUCACUGGUCGAGUCGGCCUGCGCGGAAGAUGUAACGGGGCUAAACCAUGCACCGAAGCUGCGGCAGCGACGCUUAUGCGUUGUUGGGUAGGGGAGCGUUCUGUAAGCCUGUGAAGGUGUGCUGUGAGGCAUGCUGGAGGUAUCAGAAGUGCGAAUGCUGACAUAAGUAACGAUAAAGCGGGUGAAAAGCCCGCUCGCCGGAAGACCAAGGGUUCCUGUCCAACGUUAAUCGGGGCAGGGUGAGUCGACCCCUAAGGCGAGGCCGAAAGGCGUAGUCGAUGGGAAACAGGUUAAUAUUCCUGUACUUGGUGUUACUGCGAAGGGGGGACGGAGAAGGCUAUGUUGGCCGGGCGACGGUUGUCCCGGUUUAAGCGUGUAGGCUGGUUUUCCAGGCAAAUCCGGAAAAUCAAGGCUGAGGCGUGAUGACGAGGCACUACGGUGCUGAAGCAACAAAUGCCCUGCUUCCAGGAAAAGCCUCUAAGCAUCAGGUAACAUCAAAUCGUACCCCAAACCGACACAGGUGGUCAGGUAGAGAAUACCAAGGCGCUUGAGAGAACUCGGGUGAAGGAACUAGGCAAAAUGGUGCCGUAACUUCGGGAGAAGGCACGCUGAUAUGUAGGUGAAGUCCCUCGCGGAUGGAGCUGAAAUCAGUCGAAGAUACCAGCUGGCUGCAACUGUUUAUUAAAAACACAGCACUGUGCAAACACGAAAGUGGACGUAUACGGUGUGACGCCUGCCCGGUGCCGGAAGGUUAAUUGAUGGGGUCAGCGCAAGCGAAGCUCUUGAUCGAAGCCCCGGUAAACGGCGGCCGUAA